rnacentral:rRNA from 1 species
UACAGAGGGUGCGAGCGUUAAUCGGAAUUACUGGGCGUAAAGCGUGCGCAGGCGGUUUUGUAAGCCAGAUGUGAAAUCCCCGGGCUUAACCUGGGAAUGGCAUUUGGGACUGCAAGGCUUGAGUGUGGCAGAGGAGACUGGAAUUCCUGGUGUAGCAGUGAAAUGCGUAGAUAUCAGGAGGAACACCGAUGGCGAAGGCAGGUCUCUGGGCUGACACUGACGCUCAUGCACGAAAGCGUGGGGAGCAAACAGG